rnacentral:rRNA from 1 species
GACGAACGCUGGCGGCGUGCUUAACACAUGCAAGUCGAACGGUGAAGCUCCAAGCUUGCUUGGGGUGGAUCAGUGGCGAACGGGUGAGUAACACGUGAGUAACCUGCCCCGGACUCGGGAAUAAGCGCUGGAAACGGCGUCUAAUACUGGAUAUGACAUCAAGCCGCAUGGUUAUGGGGUGGAAAGUUUUUAGGUCCGGGAUGGGCUCGCGGCCUAUCAGCUUGUUGGGCAGGUAAUGGCUCACCAAGGCGACGACGGGGAGGCGGCCUGGGAGGGCGACCGGCCACACUGGGACUGAGACACGGCCCAGACUCCUACGGGAGGCAGCAGUGGGGAAUAUUGCACAAUGGGCGAAAGCCUGACGCAGCGACGCCGCGUGAGGGAUGACGGCCUUCGGGUUGUAAACCUCUUUCAGCAGGGAAGAAGCGAAAGUGACGGUACCUGCAGAAGAAGCACCGGCUAACUACGUGCCAGCAGCCGCAGUAA